CCUACGGGAGGCAGCAGUAGGGAAUAUUGCUCAAUGGGGGAAACCCUGAAGCAGCAACGCCGCGUGGAGGAUGAAGGUUUUCGGAUUGUAAACUCCUUUUGUUAGAGAAGAUAAUGACGGUAUCUAACGAAUAAGCACCGGCUAACUCCGUGCCAGCAGCCGCGGUAAUACGGAGGGUGCAAGCGUUACUCGGAAUCACUGGGCGUAAAGAGGGCGUAGGCGGGAUAGCAAGUCAGAUGUGAAAUCCUAUGGCUUAACCAUAGAACUGCAUUUGAAACUGUUAUUCUAGAGUAUGGGAGAGGUAGGUGGAAUUCUUGGUGUAGGGGUAAAAUCCGUAGAGAUCAAGAGGAAUACUCAUUGCGAAGGCGACCUACUAGAACAUAACUGACGCUGAUGCGCGAAAGCGUGGGGAGCAAACAGGAUUAGAUACCCUAGUAGUC
rnacentral:rRNA from 1 species